rnacentral:rRNA from 1 species
UCAAGGUGUAUAUCGCCCUUGCUGCGGUUAAAAAGCUCGUAGUUGGAUCUGCGCCUUCGGACUCGGUCCGCCCAACGGGUGUGAACUGGGAUCCAAGGCUUAUACUGCUGGUUUUCCCUUGAUGCUCUUUACUGGGUGUCUUGGGUGGCUAGCGAGUUUACUUUGAAAAAAUUAGAGUGCUUAACACAGGCUAACGCCUGAAUACUUGUGCAUGGAAUAAUAGAAUAAGACCACGGUUCUAUUUUAUUGGUUUUCGGAACUGUGAUAAUGGUUAAGAGGGACAGACGGGGGCAUUCGUAUCGCUGCGUGAGAGGUGAAAUUCUUGGACCGCAGCGAGACGCCCUACUGCGAAAGCAUUUGCCAAGGAUGUUUUCAUUGA